rnacentral:rRNA from 1 species
UACGGAGGGUGCAAGCGUUAUCCGGAUUCACUGGGUUUAAAGGGUGUGUAGGCGGGUCUGUAAGUCAGUGGUGAAAUCUCCGAGCUCAACUUGGAAACUGCCAUUGAUACUAUAGAUCUUGAAUUUUGUUGAGGUAGGCGGAAUAUGUCAUGUAGCGGUGAAAUGACAUAGAUAUGACAUAGAACACCGAUGCGAAGGCAGCUUACUAAGCAAAUAUUGACGCUGAGGCACGAAAGCGUGGGGAUCAAACAGG